rnacentral:lncRNA from 1 species
AACCCGCUCAGGUCCCCUCCCACGCUGUGGAAGCAUUGUUCUUUCACUGUUUGCAAUAAAUCUUGCUGCUGCUCGCUCUUUGGGUCCACACUGCCUUUAUGAGCUACAACACUUACCGCCAAGGUCUGCAGCUUCACUCCUGAGCCAGCGAGACCACGAACCCACCAGAAGGAAGAAACUCCGAACACAUCCAAACAUCAGAAGGAACAAACUCCAGACACGCCGCCUUUAAGAACUGUAACACUGCGAGGGUCCGCGGCUUCAUUCUUGAAGUCAGUGAGACCAAGAACCCACCAAUUCCGGACACACUACCUUCCACCUUCCAUGGAAGAUGCAGGAAGCUGUGUGUUUCCCUAGUUUCUAUUGCCCAGGAAUACUUCUGAUAAAACAUUAAGAAUGUGUUCCUGAAUUCUUACCAAAAACGAAACCAAAACUGUAAAAGCACAACUGGUGUAAUUCUGUAAGGAGAAAUACAAUCACCCCAGAUGUAAUUUAGAAAUAACUAGAAGUGAUUUGAACAAAUUAUUUAAAUUUUUUAUUUCUCCCAAGUAACCACCAGUUGUGAGGAACUUCUUUCGAAGUAGUAAUAACAGAUGGUACUUAUUGAACAUUCAGUAUCUGCCAAAUGCUGUUCUUAGCAUUUUAUAUGUAUUGAUUCAGUGAAUUCUUAUAGUAGCCCUGUAAGGCAGAGUUGCUAUAGAGAUGAGGAAAUGGUGGCACAGAGAGGUUAGGUAACAUGCUCAAGGUGCUUAGUCCCUCUCCUGAACUGGCAUGAAAGGUCUCUUCUGUUUAAUUUAUAAACAAUGAUAGAACAAAUAUUGAUAGUUCAUAGUGAUAAAAAUAAAUAAACCUUUAGGAAAAGCUCUUCCUUACAGUAGAACCCCAAAUAACAAAUGUAGAAGAAAUGAUCAAAUAGGAAAAACAUCAAUAUGGAAACUAGUGGGUGAAAUUUAAAUGAGAAACAGUAUAUUUACAUGGUCCAAAAAUAUCUCCCCACAAAUUAGUUAUUAAUUAUAAAGGG